rnacentral:rRNA from 1 species
CGAACGCUGGCGGCGUGCUUAACACAUGCAAGUCGAACGGUGAAGGGAUCAGCUUGCUGGUUCUGGAUGAGUGGCGAACGGGUGAGUAACACGUGAGUAACCUGCCCCCUUCUUCUGGAUAACCGCAUGAAAGUGUGGCUAAUACGGGAUAUUCUGCGCCUGCUGCAUGGUGGGUGUGGGAAAGAUAUUGUUUCGGUGGGGGAUGGGCUCGCGGCCUAUCAGCUUGUUGGUGGGGUGAUGGCCUACCAAGGCGGUGACGGGUAGCCGGCCUGAGAGGGUGGACGGUCACACUGGGACUGAGACACGGCCCAGACUCCUACGGGAGGCAGCAGUGGGGAAUAUUGCACAAUGGGCGCAAGCCUGAUGCAGCGACGCCGCGUGAGGGAGGGAGGCCUUCGGGUUGUGAACCUCUUUCGCCAGUGAAGCAGGCCUGUCCCUUGUGGGUGGGUUGACGGUAGCUGGAUAAGAAGCGCCGGCUAACUACGUG